rnacentral:rRNA from 1 species
GAUCAUGGCUCAGAUUGAACGCUGGCGGAAUGCUUUACACAUGCAAGUCGAACGGUAACAGGUUAAGCUGACGAGUGGCGAACGGGUGAGUAAUGCAUCGGAACGUGCCCAGUCGUGGGGGAUAACGCAGCGAAAGCUGUGCUAAUACCGCAUACGAUCUAUGGAUGAAAGCGGGGGAUCGCAAGACCUCGCGCGAUUGGAGCGGCCGAUGUCAGAUUAGCUAGUUGGUGGGGUAAAGGCCCACCAAGGCGACGAUCUGUAGCUGGUCUGAGAGGACGACCAGCCACACUGGGACUGAGACACGGCCCAGACUCCUACGGGAGGCAGCGGUGGGAAUUUUGGACAAUGGGCGCAAGCCUGAUCCAGCAAUGCCGCGUGCAGGAAGAAGGCCUUCGGGUUGUAAACUGCUUUUGUACGGAACGAAAAGGUCUGGGUUAAUACCCUGGGCUCAUGACGGUACCGUAAGAAUAAGCACCGGCUAACUACGUG